rnacentral:lncRNA from 1 species
CGGUGAGCUAUUGAGUGCACGAUUCGACGACUUUCUAAGCGGCCUUGGCUUCUCGUUUCUCGAAGUGAACGCAAGCAGAAGUGGUGAUGGCGGCAUCAACCUCUCUCUCCAAGGUCUUGAUGCGUUGCUAGAGCAGUAUGAUGGAGGGGUCUAACGUUAGCGGUGAGGGAGGAUUUGGAGAAGGUGUCAUUAUCGAUGAGGAUGACUUAGAUGAGAAGAAGCUUCUAGAGAAUUUGAGAAGAGGAUGUAGAGAAGAGAAAUUAGAGAUUCUAAAGAGGGAAAAUGUGAUUCCAAAGCGAACGAGAAAAUGUGAGUUAAUAGAUAAAAUCAGUGAUAAUAUAUUUUUAAUAAAAUUUUGAAUUUGUAAUUUGUGCCAUGUAUUAUAACAGGUGAGAAGUUACCUAUCAUAAAAAAUGUAUAUUAUGAUAAGUUUAAGAAAACAUG